CGUGGCACUUCCUGAGGGAGGGGACACUGCCAUCAGCCGUGGCCUCCUGAGGGACCUGCACACCUCCUCUGCUCUCCCAGCAAUUCUCCCAAUCCCCCAGCUGCCAGGUUUGACUGGGAGCUUAUCAGCGUUGUGCUGGCCUGGAGCCCCACGCCUUGAGCAGCUCUCACGGGGUUCUCUACGUGCGUGUGCAGACACCAGCUCAUGGACCGUGUGCCAGUAGAUGGUGCUCAAGAAUGCACAGCCCCAGGUUGCUGCCGGAUAUCUGGAGUAAAUCAGAUGGUUUGAUCGGUGUUUGGGGUUGGUUGAUGGGGAUUUGGGGUUUUUUUGGUGCUCUAUCCUGAAGCCCCAACAGGAUGGGAAAUACCUCCGGGUGUUGUGCAACUGGUCGCGCUGGACCUCUCAGGAUGUGGGAAGGUGGUGCUCCUUUUUCCUUGGGCUAAACCACAUCCCUUGGAAUAGGUCCACGUCAGGAAUGAAGAGGUCAAUUGUCCUUUAUCUGUCCAUCAGAAGCCUGCAGUUCUGACUUACCUGACACCAGUGAAAGCAGCUGUUCACUGCUGAUGAUUUCCUCUAACAGCUUUAAAUCUUAGAUAUUAACCUCGGGCACCUUCUGGCUCACAGUGCUGUUGUGAGGCUGCAGGAUUUGGGAAGGUUUGCCCAGCCUGACCCGCAGGUGGGACUUGGUGUGUGAGAUUCCUGUGUGCUGGUGCUGCCUCUCCAGCAAGACACAUACGGGCCCACUGCCAUCAUGUCAUUCAUGAAUAGCUUCAUGUCACACCAUGUUAGCAUCAGCAGGGCUGGGGAUGAUGUAAAGCAGCAAAUAAAGAGCAAAUGAAAGCCUGCAGCACAAAGAAAUUAAUUCAGAGCAUCUCAGAAAUAUCCUCUCCAGGGUCCUUUCUAAGGCUGGUGUUCUCCAAAGCUGCGAGUCAAGCACCUAUUUUCCACUGCAUUUUAUGCACUUAUGGAAAUUCCAGUUGGCAGCUUGGGGAAAGGGAAGAAAAAGAGGCAACACAACCUCUUUGACUUAACCUACGUCUGGAUUUUUCCAAAGGCAGUAAUUUUUUUGGUAAGGAGGUCAUUCCAAGUAGAACUGGAGUAUUUUGGAGCGGUACUUCAGGCAAAGUUGCCUACCACAGGUUGUUCAUCAUCACAUCCAUGCAGUGCAGUGGAGACACACAGAGCUCAAAGGCUGCAGAUGCACAGAAGGAGAUUCCCUCAGUUCCAUCUCGGCUCUUUUGAAGUAUUUGGAGGCAGACUGACUUAACUGGGCUCUUUGGGUGUCAGAGGGACAUUAGUGGAGUCUCUUAAAACUGAUUAAUUGCCUUCGUUAGGAGCUGUACUGUAAACAAGCAGUGAUAGUGCAGAAAAUUCAUUGCCAGUCAACAGAAAUGAAAAGCCCAGAGCAAACAUAACAAGCGAUAACUAAUUAUCAACACAUGCCCUAGUUGCUUAAUAGCUCUUUCCCUUAGAUUUGCAGUUGGUGUCUGUAACUGCUGCUCGAGGAUCAGCCCCUCCUUGCCUGUACUUCCCAGUAUCACACUGAUGACAGCCUGAAAGCAAUUUUCUCAAUGUAUUUGUUAACACAUACAGAAAGAGAUUUUUCUUGACUGAGAAGCUCUAGUCCAAGUAAAAUUCUGACUGGUCCAGCUCCUUCCUCGAGGAGCUCAACACAGCCCCUCACACCGAGCCAGGCUUUGCCUGCUGAGCUCACUCAGCUGCUGGGGUCAGACCAAAUCUGUUUGGUCGUGUUCAAACCUGAAAUAGAGGGAAUUUCGAGAUGCUCAGCACUUCUCAGAAUCAAUCCCCUCUGAUCAAGGAGAAAAUACGCUCUGGACCUGAUCAACCCUGUACUUGUACCCACAUAGAACUGUAGCAUCCUCUGUUCACAUUAAACAGCCACAAAACACCGAGUCACAUCUGUGUGUGUUCCAGACCAUAAAGUCAGAUAAAGCCUUCUGGCCUCACCUACUGCCAGCUCCCAAUAAUAUUUACUUGUAAUGUCUCUAGAAUAUGUUUUUGACUUGGAAACAGAUGGUAUGUGUGGUCUCUCUCAAACAGAGUCAUUCCUGAUGCUGUGGAAACCUUCAGGGAUUCACACAUGCAUUCACUAGGAGGAGAAUCUACCUGUCCUACUGGAACUGUGAUCGAUACGUUAUUGCCACAAGGCUCAGUCCUGAAAGUUUGUCCUCCCAUGAAUCUGCCUUAUAAAUUAACUUGGACUGCUGGACAAGUCAGAUGGACAACUCCCCAGUAUGCAAAAAAGGUUUGCAAGAUGAAAGACUAGAUUUGUAAAGCUCAUUAAAUACCUAAGAUGGAGACAGAUGCUUCCAUCCAUCCUCAUUUAAAUAUUCUUAUUUAAGUGUUCUUAAGUACUUAAGAACACAUACACAUCCACUUUGCCCUUGAUUUUGUUUUAUGUGAGAGCCUGCUCUCUCAAUACGCUGUUCUUCAUUUUAAUAUGUAUUGAGGACAUACAUUAUCCUCAGUUCCAGUCUUCUCUUCUAAGGAUUUUAUUUAUUCUGUGCUCGUACAUAGUGCUACUCUUUUUUUUCAGUCCCUGCUAUUUGAGGCUCUCUAAGUGUCACACAAGCAUUCAUGAACUUCUCUGUGCUACCCUCAAGAAAGCAAGCUGGCAGUAUAUGGCUUUCCCCCUCACCACCCAUUUAUUCAUCAUUUUCAGUGCCUUCUCUGCUCAUUUUAGUCUGGUUAAACUGCCUGUGAUGCUUCUCCCAUGCACAUGUGUGAUGAAGGGCUGGCUGCAUUCUCCUUCCCUUGCUCUGACACAGAACAAACCCCCCCCAGUCCAUGGCUGUUUCCUGUGCACUUGCCAACCCAAAAGCACCGAGCAGCAUCUAUCAGAGCUGUACAACAAAUGCAGCAGUGCAGAGAUACCCGAGCUCUAAUCACUCACAGCUCCAGGCACUUUGCUCUUCAUCAUAUUUGUCUAGACAGACUAAAUGGUCUCUGUGAGACAACCCCAGUGUUAGCCGGGAGAGAGGCUGCAUUUUCCAGGUACGGCUAAGGGUAGGUGGUCCCUGGAGCACAGGCGUUAUAAAAGUGGUUCAUCACACGGUACAAAAGCACUGGAAGGCUGUGCCUCCUCUCAACAUCGAGUGCUUUUUAAGUGGUGCCGCCAGGUAGGGGGUGUUUGUGGGCGUUUCACAGCCACGGAGAAGGAGGGGGCUCCAGGGUGUUGCUGCGACCAGAGCGGCUCG